ensembl:lncRNA
ACAGGUGUAUAUUAAAUUACAAUGAUAAAUUAUUAUUUAAAUAUCAUAAAUAGUUCUGCUAUCUGCAUAUUUUUAUUAAAUCCUUAUCCAUCAAUAAUGACUGGACAACUCAUGGGAAAGCCAUUUGAAUUCAUCGUUCAAAAUCCCUGUAAAUACAGCAUGUCUGCUAAAGUUUGGUUUGGGUUUUUAUAGUGAACUAAAAUGUAAGCGUAAAAUAAAUGUUGACUACAAUCAAAUAAAAUAUUUUUAAAAAACUUUUAAUUUUAUUCCAGCUAGUUGCUAAAGAGAUAUUUCUUAUUUUUAUUAAAUUUAACUUGAUGUACUAAAAUAACUAAACUGAAAUAAAUAAUGAUAAAAUACUAUAUGGACAUUUAAAAAAAAAUAAAAAAUGUCAGAGAGACACAAUAUAAUAACUAAAACUGUAAAAUUUAAAUGAAAAUGUAAAAUGUAAAAAUCAAACCUAUUUCAAGCUAUGAAUGAAAACCGUAAUAGUAUCUUAAUGAUAAUAAAAUAACACUGCUAACAUAAACAGCUGAUCAGUGUUUCAUUCAACUUAGUUCAUGUUAAUAUUAAAAUAUUAAAAGAAAGAAAUAUAAGAAAAAUAUUAAAAGUUAUUAAAAAGUAAUAUAUAUUCUGAUUUAUAAGCUUUAUAUUAUUAUGUUAUAUAUAUAUAUAUAUAUAUAUAUAUAUUAUAUAAUAUUAGCUUAAUAUUAUGUCUAAGCUAAAAUUCUUGUUAUAUAUGCUCAUUCAUAUUAAUGUAUGCAUAUUGAUACUGCAUUGGUAUCAAAAUUGGAAUCAAGAAUGGUGAAAUAUUAUUGGUCCUGGUAUCAUGACCACCCUUACAUUAAUUAUUUAAUUUGUUAUUUUUUAUUUCAAAUCAAUAUAUUAUGUCAUCAUAUAUCUAAAUAUCCCUCACUAGGGAGCAGUGAACACUCUGUAGGGUCCCUGUGAAUGAUGUAGGGUCCAGUAUGAGAGUUUAUUUCAUGUGUUUGUGUCAGGAGAAAGCGCCCCUGUCCCAAUCGGCCUCCAUUAAAGAGUCUCUUCUGAAGAGCGAGGACCAAUCAGAGCCCAAAUGUGUGAGUCCACUAGAGUACCGCAGGACUCUGGCCGCUCAGAACAGCUUACAGACGGCCGUCAUGGUGCGUGUGGGCACUGAGGAAGACGAGGAGGAGGAAGAGGAGGAGCAGCCGUCCAGUCAAGAGCAGGACAUGUCUUAUGAGCUGACCAACAGCAAACACGGCACGCUGAUGUCAGCAGUGAAGCAUGUGAGAGGACGUCCCGCCGUGAGCCACACACAUCAUCGUCAUCAUCAUCAUCAUCAUCAGACAGACAGGAAGUGCCGCCCAUCAGCUGACCGACACACAGCGACGUCCAGGCCUUAGUUCAAACGAUUCAUUUAUAGUGCUUAUUAUUUAUAUUCCUAUUGUACUCUUGAGUUUUCCUGAAGCAUCUGUAGAUCCCAGAGUUGAGUUGUGUUUGAUUGGGUGUGCAGAGGUGCUAUUAAACCCUCGCUGAUGUACAUUACAGCACCCAGACUCACUGUCAACAGGAAGUAAAGCCCAUAAACCCACUUGUUUAAUUCAGACUGCCGAGGGUUGCGUUCAUGGUUCGCUUGUUUUAUAUGGAUUUUAAUCAAUCGCUCCCGGUUUUAUCUAUUGUUGGUCGACGCGAUUUUUAGUACUCAUAUCUUUUGCACUGUACGACACCCAUCCUUGCUUUUUUGAUAUCAGAGGAUUUAUGUAUAAACAAUGUACAACUAUAAACUUUCAAUAAGGUGCCGCCGUACUGCUGCCGAUGGACAGGAUUUGUAAAUGAUCUGUAUGUUGGAUAGUCCGCAAUAGCCACCACACUGUUCCCCGACACACUCAUGAAUGUUCCAGCUUAUGUUUUAUUUUUCUAUGGCUGAGAUAUAUUUAACUAGAGAGACGAGUACAGAGUAUUACAGUUUUAAGAAGAGUAUUCCAGAGGAUGGCUUUAGUUUGAGGAGAAUAGCACACAAGAAGCAAGCGUUUAAAACAGUUGAUAAAGCAAUAAGCAGGGUUUGGUGUUCCACUUCGAUGUAUAAACUGUAAAGUUCAUGAUGUAUAUACUGUACACCAUACAAUGAGCAGAGCAGAGACACCGAAGAGGUUAUGUAUCAGAGUCAAUAUGCAAAUGUUCAUAUUUCAUCUGUUUUAUAUCAUGUGAAAUAAAUGUUGAUGUUCUUAUAUAUACA